AAGCCUAUGAAUAACCUAUUGGGCUAAAAUUGAGUUUCUCUGGCACUUUCACCUUCCGCUAUUAGGUCUGACGUCAACAGCGCAAUAAGGCAAGGAGCUCUAGCAGGGAAGCCACUCACAAGCACGUGCUCUCGUCAGCGAGGAAAGAUGUCGAUGUACUGCCUUUCAGAAAAUCACCAAAGAAUGAAGAAUAGGAAGGAAUGUCGGAAGAGUUGCUCAGCAGCGAAGCUGCAAGUUUAACAAGAGGUUUUCCCCAUAUAUUACUGAAAACAAUGGGAUGAAAAGAAAACUGAUAUGUAAUAUCUUCA